rnacentral:lncRNA from 1 species
CAAAGUUGGUUCUUAUGGCAUCUAGGAGAAACAACUAUAUGAGGGAAGCUCAAUGGGCGUAUCCUCUCAUGCUAAGAACACCAGGCAAGAGGGGAACAAAGCUACUAGACGAUGCUCACAGGGAGACCGUGGGCCCCUCUGAGCAAAAGCUAGGUCAGUCUCUCUCUACUGGCAGUAAAGAUUGCAAGGAUGCGGCCAUAAGGCGCAUGUAGGCCGAAAUGGAAGAAAUGUGGUUGGUCUUGAUGGCUAACAACCUAAAAAUGCCUGCCCACAAGGCAAGUGAAAUGUCAUCUGAGGUGAGGUCAGUUAGGUGAAAGACCUCACCUCGGGGUGGCUCGAAGGGGAAGCAAGCUCUGUCGUACUAGGA